UAAGCCCGUUUUGGGCUCCCGGUUGAGCGCUCAACGCGCCCAGACAUGCAGUACGAAACGGGAAUUGGUUCGGUUCGGUUCGCCAAAUGGACGCCAAAGCUCUUGGCAAUUAUGUAAAGUGUCUGCGCAAGAAAUUUGCAAACGAAAAUGAAUAAAAUCGUGGUACCAUAAAACGAAACUCUAAACAAACA